UUCUAUUCAUAUUUUGAAUCCUUAGAAAACUUACGAAAGAGAUAUGGAAAAAGUUGAGAUAAAAGCUAUUGGAGUUUUAGUUAUGGUGAUGAUUCUUUUGAGUUUUACACAUGCUGAAUUAAAUAGCAAAAAUGAUGCUUCUUUAUGCAGUAUUAAAUGUGCAUUCAAAUGUAAACCUAAAGCCUCUUCUGAAUAUGAAAAAUGUAUUAAAGAUUGUGAAUCACACUGCAAUACAUUAUCCCCUGAUCCUAUAUUUAAAUGUCUUACUAGCUGUGACUUAAUGAAGGUCAUUGCCUACAACACUGGCGCUCAUGAUCUUGCAAAUAACGUGAUGAAUACAUGCAUGGAAGAGUGUACGAAAAAGUUGUAAUUUCUAAGAACUUUUGAGUGAAAAAUUGAUAUAAGAAAUUGUAUUCCUACACAAUUUUCAGAAAUAAUCUUGAUCGAUAAACAAUGUUGAAUUAUUUUCA